AACGAACGCUGGCGGCAUGCCUAACACAUGCAAGUCGAACGAGAUCUUCGGGUCUAGUGGCGCACGGGUGCGUAACGCGUGGGAAUCUGCCCUUUGGUUCGGAAUAACAGUUGGAAACGACUGCUAAUACCGGAUGAUGACGAAAGUCCAAAGAUUUAUCGCCAGAGGAUGAGCCCGCGUAGGAUUAGCUAGGUGGUGUGGUAAAGGCGCACCAAGGCGACGAUCCUUAGCUGGUCUGAGAGGAUGAGCAGCCACAGUGGUACUGAGACACGCGCCAGCCUCCUACGGUAGGCAGCAGUGGGGAAUAUUGGACAAUGGGCGAAAGCCUGGUCCAGCAAUGCCGCGUGAGUGAUGAAGGCCUUAGGGUUGUAAAGCUCUUUUACCCGGGAUGAUAAUGACAGUACCGGGAGAAUAAGCUCCGGCUAACUCCGUGCCAGCCGCCGCAGUAA
rnacentral:rRNA from 1 species